ensembl:lncRNA novel transcript
AGCAUUAUCACCGGUGUCUCCAUUCAGUUAACUUGUCUUAGAGGCUCCAACAAACAAGACCAAGCCAGUGCCUAGCCGGAGGCGGGCGGCACGGGACCGUUUUCUAGUUUUUUUUUCUUUCUUCUUUUUCAACCUUGGCAAAGAGAUAACGCCCUGAACAACGAGGAGGCCUCAGGAUGGCCAUGGAGGUUUGGACGCCCGCUCCAAGCGCUGGUUAAAAAUAAUAUGGAGACGGCACGGGAUUUGGCCUCUAGAAAAUAUAGGUCCCAUUGAAGAUGUGCAGGCGUCUGCACACGGCGGUGUGGAGGAGAAUAUGACAUCAGAUAUUAUUUGGUCGAAGAUCUCAGUGAAUACCCAUCUGUCCAUCUUGAAGACCUCAUGACACCGGAGAUGGCAAAGGAGAGACGCGAAGAUUACCUCUGCUGGGUUAACAUGGCACAAUCUCGGCUCAAUGAACCCAUCAGCUCCCAGGUUUGAGGACUUCUCCGGCUUCCGCAUCCCGAGUAGCUGGGAUUACGGACGCCUGCCACCACACCCAGCUCAAAUCAUUUUAUGAAUGCAUAUUUCCAUCUGGGUGAAAAAAAAAUCACAAGCCUCUCUCUCUUCCUACUGAGCACCUGUGAACAGUGACCUGCAGUUUGUGGCUGCAGCCAGUCCUCAUGGAGCCUGCUGUUCUUACAUUUCAUUCUGAGGCUCACAUUCUCAGUCACCAUGCAGAAGAACACCCGCCCCAUCCUGGGUCAUUACAGAGUGGGCCAAUCCAUCUGCUGCAUCUGAGGAGCUGGGUCCAGCUUCUACGGUGAAUCCAUAUAUUUCUGUAUUUCCUGGAUAAGGAAGAGGAAAGGAGCUGAGCUGGUGGAGGAAGAAGAUCUAAUAUUAACUGACUCCUUAUUUUGUACCAGUCAAGGACGUGUCAACAUAGAGACUUAGGAGGACAAAGUGAACUUCCUGAUCCCCAACAGGCAGAUCCCCAAAAGCCAAAAUGUAUGUGUCACCUUGGAAGAUGACGCACCAGGAAGAAUGGGGAGGAGGGAGGAGGAAAAACUGCUGAUGAGGCCGACUCGCUCUUUGGGGCUUAUCAUAUCAGCAAAGCCAGCUCUUUUGAGAUGGAAGAACAAAGAUGUUUCUCCUCUGUGAGGAGGUGACAGUGGUGUUCUGGGUGAAGGAGAGCAGCUUUGUCCUGGAAGGAAUCUGACUUGGAAGGAGGCCCAGUUGUCCAGCAGGUACCUGUUCCCUUUCUGCUCUGGCUUCCAAAGGGCUCUCUGCAGAGCCCCUUCCCGGAGCUGCUGGCAGGAGGUCCUUUGCUUGGGGGGUGAUCCAUGGGGACGUCUGGAGCAGUGGGAGCCUAUCUUGGGACCUGGAUGGGAGCUGCUCCACCUCAGCACCCAGGUUAUGAGGCACAGGGCUGGGCACCACGAGGGCAUGGGUGAAAGUGGCCUGGAUUUGGAUUUCAGAAGAACUGGGCUUGAGUCCUAGUUCUGCCAUAAACCAUGUGACUCUUAGGCAGUCACUUUAUGUUUUUAUUUCUUUGGCAGUAAAACUGUCAUUACCUACAAUAUGGGAAUUGUAAGGAACUACUGAGAAAACAAAUCUCAAAAUGUUCUGUGCAGACUCUCAAAUACUGUGCAAAUAUCAAGCUGUUUUAAAA